UUGGGUGAGACCGGGCUAUAUAAAAGGGCGGAGCACAAAGCUGAAGCUUUCUCAGUAGUUCUCCCGUCACACUGUUGGGUACCCAAACUACCAGGUGCUCUUUGGUUGGCUGGGCGCUAGAUGGUUGGAGGUUAGACUGGCCAGUUGGAGUAGCAGCCACAGGAUCUUUACCACCACAGAGCCUGUGGAAGGUGUGGAGGAUCCAACUUUCUUUUUUUUUACGACUGCAUUCCGGAACGCUUUUUUUCCCUGGAGCAAGUCGGAAACCCUGAAUUUCAAGUCAUUUUUUGCCGCAUUCCUCCUUUUUGCCUGACCAAAAGGGUGUAAUCGCAACCAGGUCUCCAGACCAGAGCUGCAUCAACACACCGCGCAAAGAAACCAACCCCAGACCCACUACAGACAUGAUCAUCAGACUGGGCAGGCUGACCCCUGGAUACUUCCGCCUCCUACAGAGACAGGUGGCGGGUGAGGUGCAGACCCAGCCACAGGACCGCGCGGUCAACCAGAUAGCCAUGAUGCUGGCCAUCAUGGGCCUGAGCCUGUCCUACUACAGUGCCAAACGGAUGACGGAGAAGGUCCAUAGGCUCCAGAAGAGAAGAGAUCCCCAUACCCCCUGAAGAGACCCCCCUGGAGAUUACAGUGUCGGUGUCCAGAACAACACCUUUUCACAACCAAUCAGUCGUAGUCACGUCGUUCAGACACUGGAGUUUUACUGGGAUCACUCUCAAUGUGAGGAGAAUUCGGGAAUUCGGGGGGAGUGUAUGUGGGAAAGGGUGUGUAUGUGGGAAAGGCCCAUGGUGGGGUUUGUGUGGUCCUGAUAACGUUUGGGGGG